rnacentral:sRNA from 1 species
GGACCCCGGCGGUGUAGUUGAAGAGUGUGGUGGGGGGCGGGGAGCUGAGGGAUGGACGGGGGCCACGUGGGAGGGGGGACAGGCUUGGGGGGCCGGGCGGAUGAAACACCCCACCGGUCCCCUCCUCUGAUCUGCCCCAAGGCCCAUGCCCACGCUCCCGCCACCUUGAUGCUCAUGGCUUCGUCACCACCUCCGCCGUGGAUGGGAUGGGCGCUGCGGCCACGGCCCGCCCGGCCGCGCUCGAGGCGCUCCGCAACCUUGCCCCAGCCCACUCCCCCUCUCACCCUACCACAGAGCAUGGUAAAUACCAAGCCCGAGAAGACGGAGGAGGACUCAGAGGAGGUGAGGGAGCAGAAACACAAGACCUUCGUGGAAAAAUACGAGAAACAGAUCAAGCACUUUGGCAUGCUCCGCCGCUGGGAUGACAGCCAAAAGUACCUGUCAGACAACGUCCACCUGGUGUGCGAGGAGACGGCCAAUUACCUGGUCAUUUGGUGCAUUGACCUAGAGGUGGAGGAGAAAUGUGCACUCAUGGAGCAGGUGGCCCACCAGACAAUCGUCAUGCAAUUUAUCCUAGAGCUGGCCAAGAGCCUGAAGGUGGACCCCCGGGCCUGCUUCCGGCAGUUCUUCACUAAGAUUAAGACAGCCGAUCGCCAGUACAUGGAGGGCUUCAACGAUGAGCUGGAAGCCUUCAAGGAGCGUGUGCGGGGCCGCGCCAAGCUGCGCAUCGAGAAGGCCAUGAAAGAGUACGAGGAGGAGGAGCGCAAGAAGCGGCUCGGCCCUGGCGGCCUGG